UUAAGUUCAGCGGGUAUCCCUACCUGAUCCGAGGUCAACAUUACUGCUUUACACAGAAUGGGGGUCCAACAGCCUGGAUUCUGACCAGCCUACAAACUGAUUUAGCAUCACGAGAUACUCUGUAAGUCUGUCACCAUGGUCUACAUCUCCGGCCUAUUCAUUCCAGCAGAGUGGGGCCAGCACUGCCAGCCCUACCCACU
rnacentral:misc_RNA from 1 species